UAAAACACACAAAACCCCUACAAUUGCUACAUCCCCUGAUCUGGGUAACCAACAUAUCCAAAAAUCACCCAGAUCAAUUCAGGGGUUCAGGAAUUUCCAGGAAGUGUUAUUUUUGACCGACCGUGCAUGGUCCUCUGCCCAAAACAGUUCCAGGAAUUCAGGGCUAACUGUCGGUCUCUCUGUCUUGAGUACAAAAGUACAUAACUCACAUGAACAGCCCUUUUUUUU